AUUUUAAUUAGCACAGGAUAUUUUUCAAUGGACUCUGCUCCCGGACACUGAACCGCGCGUAUGUGUUUAUAACCGAUAUCCGCCAAUAAUAUCUAUUUGCUUAUUUCUCAUCCCUGUGAAUUCUGUGGAAGGCAUUAAUCUGAAGGAAGAGCGGGGGACAAUAUUCUUGAUGUCGACGACGUGGUCGAUGAAGUGAUGAUUGCGACGAAAAUAUAACAAGCAAAUGUCAUACACUUGCUAAUGUAACGCCUAUCGUAAUAGCAGAAAAAUUAUCGUAAUAGCAGAUUAUCAUCUAUUGAAAGUAAGCCUGCUACCACGAAUAAGAUUUGUUGCGUGAUUAAAAAUAUAACAAGUUGUAGUGCAGAUAUGAUCAACGAGAAAUUUGUAAAGAAGGCGAUAACAAAAUAAAUGUUCGAAAAUUCAGUAACUUCAUUUAAAUUAUUGUAGUAAUGAAUGAUCCGAUGAUAUUUUUGAUAUAUAUUGUAUUGAUAAUGAUGAUUGACAAUUAAUAGAAGACGCAAUUGAAUAUACAAUGGCAAGGAAUCUACGAUCGCAUGCUACUUGUUGCUAUUCCCACUGUGUGCUCCUUACCAAAUGAUCGAACAACAAUGCGACUUCGCGAUAGUAGAUACCGAC
rnacentral:misc_RNA from 1 species